rnacentral:rRNA from 1 species
UUCCAGGAAAAGCCUCUAAGCAUCAGGUAACAUCAAAUCGUACCCCAAACCGACACAGGUGGUCAGGUAGAGAAUACCAAGGCGCUUGAGAGAACUCGGGUGAAGGAACUAGGCAAAAUGGUGCCGUAACUUCGGGAGAAGGCACGCUGGUGUGUAGGUGAAGCCCCUGCGGGUGGAGCUGAGACCAGUCGAAGAUACCAGCUGGCUGCAACUGUUUAUUAAAAACACAGCACUGUGCAAACACGAAAGUGGACGUAUACGGUGUGACGCCUGCCCGGUGCCGGAAGGUUAAUUGAUGGGGUUAUCCGUAAGGAGAAGCUCUUGAUCGA